UUGGUAACGGCCUACAGAACCGUACUGCGAGAUAAAGAGAAAACUCAGGCCAUCCUCAGCCAGAGUCAAGAUAAAGCCCUGAGGAGAAUAGGAGAGCUCAGGGAGGAGCUCCAGAUGGACCAGCAGACCAAGAAACACCUGCAGGAGGAGUUUGAUGCUGCCCUCGAGGAGAAGGACCAGAUGAUCACUGUGCUUCAGACUCAGGUGUCUCUCUUGAAGAAACGACUACAGGCGCCUGGAGGUCUGGUAUCGUCAGAGCUUGAGACCUCUCAGUCCACGGAGGAUGCGGUUGACGCGACCUCUGACCCUCAGAGCCCCUUGAAAGAUGCAGAGGUCAGCGGAGAGCCGGGCGGCACGGUGGACCUCGAGUUGCUUCAGAAGCGAAUCAAAAGGCAAGAGAGUCUCCUGCAGAGAUGCAAAGAGAUGAUUCGCUCCAGUAAAGAGCGCUCCGCUCAGCUGGGCAGCGAGAACGAGGUUUUACAGCAGCAGCUGCAGGAGAGGCUGCAAGAGCUUGAGAAAAUGAAGGAACUCCACACUACAGAGAAGACGAAGCUGAUCACACAACUGGGAGACGCCAAGAACCUCAUCGAGCAGCUGGAGCAGGACAAGGGAAUGGUCAUUGCUGAGACGAAGCGUCAGAUGCAUGAGACUUUAGAGAUGAAGGAAGAUGAGAUCGCUCAGCUGCGCUCCAGACUCCAGCAGACCCUCGCACAGAAAGACGAGCUGCAAGAACAGAAAGAGAAAUCCGAGAAAGCUGCAUUUGAGGAGCUGGAGAGAGCCCUGGGUGUGUCCCAGCGGGCGGAGGAGGCACGCCGUCAGCUACAGGUGAGCAUGGAGGAGCAGGUGAAGCAGGUGGAGAAGGCCAGCGAGGAAGAGAGGAGAAGCCUGCAACAGGAGCUGACCAGGGUCAAACAAGAAGUGGUCAACAUUAUGAAGAAGUCCACCGAGGACAGGAUAGCAGAAUUGGAGCAGUUACACUCAGAGGCUAUGGCUAGCAAAGAACAGGAACUGAGUGCCCUGAUCAAACAGGCGGUGGAGCAGUGUCGUGAGGAGAUGUUGCAGUCGGCAAAGGAAAGAGAACAGCAGGAAUCUCUCGCUCUGGAGGAAGCAGAGCUGCAGAAAUCUGCAAUUCAGUCUGAGGGGGAGAACAAAGCCAAGGAACUACAGCUAGAGUUGGAGUCUGCCAGAACGAGAAUUCAAGAACUUGAGAGUUGUCUGAGUAGCCCAGAGAAGGAUUACGCCAAGUCGGAUGAUCUCUCUGCGCAAGUGGAAGAGCAGAGAAAGAAACAUGAGGCUGAAAUAGCUGCUUUGGAAGAGGCGCAUAAGCAAGAACUGGAAAGGACAAAGACAGAGCUAAUAGCAGACCUCAACCAGCAGCAUGAUGUUGUUAUGAAAGAGCUCAUGCAAAAACACAAGGUAGAGAUUGAAUCUAUUCUGAAAGACAAGGAGGAACAGUUCCAUUCUCAUGUGGAAGACAUGAACAAAAAGAUGCUUGAUAAGCUGAGUGACAAACAGACAGAGAUUGAGACCCUGUCUUCUGAUCUCAAUGAACUACUGAAUAUUAGGCAACAGUUAGAAGAGAGGCUGUCCUCUGUGGAGGCCACCAGUGAAACCACAAGACAAGAGUUUGAGGAAAGACUUAAGGAAGAACAAACAAAAUAUCAGGUGGAGAUCGAAGCUGCGAUACAGAACCAACAGUCAUUUGCAAUGGUGGAGAAAAUGCUGAAAGAACAGAUAAAUCAGCUGAAGACUGUGUUGGAGGAGAAGGAAAAGGCACUAGAGGAACAUGUGCUCAGGGAAAGGACUUUGCACGAAAAUGGAAAUGCUCAGUUGGAGGAACUUCAUCUCAGGGCACAGUCGAAUAAAGACGCCCUUGAGGAAUCAAGAUCUCAGAUUAGCACACUUACAGAAGAACUCCAGCAAACCAAGAAUCAAGUGAAAGAUCUUGAGCAAACCCUUGAGGCAGUGCGUAAGGAUUGUCAGGAGAAAGGAGUGUGUCUUGAACAGAAGACAAAUGAACUUCAGGAACUAGUGCAGAAGAUGGAGCAAGUCAAGACGGACCUAUCUGAAAAAGAGAAUUUGCAUUCUGCAACCUCCAAAACAAUGCAAGAUGAGCAAAACCGCUUGAGGAAGCAGCUGGAUGACCAGAAGAGUUCUCACGAGAAGAAACUUGAGAACAUCAGGAAAGACAUGGAUUGCAAGCUGAAAUCCCAGGAAAACAAAAUGGAGAAAUUCAAGCAGAAAGUCAAAGAAGCACAGGACAAGUUGAAGAAGAAGCUUCAGGAUCAAGAGGAGAAUGCCAAAGCGGAGUUAUCUAAGAUGGUUCAAGAGUUAGAACGGAAAGACCAGCAACUGAAGGAGAAGAUCCUUGAGAUAGCUCAAGCAAGCUCUGAGGGCCUCAGCACAAACAUGUCUGAUUUGGAGGCCAAUCACAAGGAGCACUUAGACAAGCUUAAGGUGACCCAUAAACAGGAACAGGAAGACCUUGUUCGAGAUUGGCAGGAGAAACUCAACCAACUUGAGGAGGAGAUGCAAGAAAAACAUGCCCAAUCUUUGCAAGAUAAAGUCCAAGAGUUGGAGGAGAUCUCGCAGCUGCUUUCAGCCAGCAGGGAAGAAAAGGAACAGAUCAUGAAAGACAUCCAGAACCUCAGGGAGGAGCUUGCCAUGAGGGAAACCACUGUGCAGAAACUACAGACAGAGCUCAGGGAAGCAGCAAGCAAGCUGGAAAGUUUGUCUGAAGGGGAAGGUAUACUUAAAAGACAAGUCGAAACCAUGGAGAAGAAUCUAAACCAGGCCUUGAAUGAACGCAACCUUCUACAAGACGAACUGAGAAAGGCUGAGGAAACUAGUAAAGAGAAAUUGCAGGGCAUAUCUGAAGAGUUGAUAAACACUCGGCAAAAAUGUAGUUUGCUUGAAACAUCCAAGUGUAAAGAGGUUGAAGAUCUCCAGGGGACACUAGCAGAAAAAAUGGCUGAACUUAAAAAUAAAGAAAAUGAAUUCCAGACGCAGUUGUUUACCAUCACAAAGGAGUUUGAACAGUGUUUUCAGAAAGCACAGGAUAAGUUAGAUGGUUUCUCUGUUGAGCUGUGUAAGACAGUUGAGGAACGAGUUAGAGAUUUACAAAACCGGGUUACAGAUAAUCAGAAUAAGGUUACAUAUCUAAAAAACAUUAUCAUGACGAAGGACAACAGAAUCAGCACUUUAGAGAUCGAGAACCGUAACCUAAAGAGCUCCCUUGAUGAGGUAACUCUUGAGUUUAGUGCAAGUUCAGAGACUCUGAAAGCCUUAAAAACCGAAAUGGAGUCUCUGCAAAACCAUGCAGAGAAUCGCUCCCAAGUACUUUCUGAGAAAGACCUUAACAUUGAGCAGCUUCGCAAGGAGAACAAAAACAUAUCAGAAAAUCUCAACGCAAAUGUUUUGCAAAUCAGCAAUCUAGAAUCAGUCAUAAAUGACUUGAAGACCCAGUUAUCGAGUAGCGUAACUGAAAAAGAGGAAGCCAUAUCUCUGCUGAAUCAGCAGCACAGUGAGGACAAGGAGAGGGUGGGGGAGAAGGUGGAAAGACUAGAUAAAGAAAAUACCUCGCUUCGAGAGCAGGUAGACUCACUCAGGAAUAAGUUCUCUGAGCAGAAAAAGAAGUUCAGUCAGAGUCACAGCACUGUUAAAUCUCUUCAAGAAAAAGUUGCAGAAAUGGAGAGACAGAUUUCGGAGAAGGACGAACAACUUCAGAUGCUCUCCGCCAGCGUUGACAAUCACUCUAUUAGUAAGUCCGAAAUGGACCAGGCACUAAGUGAGAAAGAACAGAGGGUUCAUGCCUUGACCUCAGAGCUGGAAAGCUGCUCAAAGAAAGUUUGUGAUCUGGAGGAGCAGCUGGAAUUGCGGACAAAAGAGCGGGAACAACUUGCAGCUGAUUUGCAGCAGCAACUUAACAUUAGGGAGAGCCAAAAGGUGGAGUUGAUGAAACAGGUGCAGGACGCUCAGGACCAAAGCUCUCAAAGUGGUGCCCUGAUACAGAAAACUGAGGAAAGUCUUCAGUCUUUACAGAAAGAAGUCGAAAGAGCCAAGCAGGAACUUGAAACCCAGAAGAACGACUUUGAGAGGGAGAAGGCAGAGAUUCUGAGGGCAAAAGAAGAGGCUGUCAAUGCAGCUCAGGAAAAGGCGUACUCUGAGACGGCUGGUAAAGUAGCCGAGUUGAAGAAGAAGGCAGAGCAGAAGAUUGGCAUGAUCCGUAAACAGCUGAUUUCACAAAUUGAGGAAAAGGAGCAGGCUAUCAAAGACAUGCAGAUGCAGUUGGAAGGCAUCAAGCAAACCCAGACUGAAAAAGAAGAACGUAUAAAGUCUCUAGAGGAAAUCGAGAAGACAAUGGAGGAGUCCACCGCAAAAUUAAAGGAAGAGCAUGCAAAACAUCUACAAGAAUUGCAGCAGAAAGAAGACGAGGAAAGACAGUCCUCUCUGCAAAACUUAAAAGAUAUGUAUGAAGAGAAGCUUGCUGUUAUUCUUAAAGAUGCGUCUGCAAAAGAGGAGCAAUCUGCUUUUGCUGCAAGAGAAACUUCGUCCAGACUUGAGGAGCUUGAGACCAAACUUGCAGAGUCUAAUGAACAGAUUACAAACUACCAAGCUGAGGUAAGUCGCCUUAAAGCAGACCUGCUUGAACAGACAGUUCGAGUGCAAGAGCUCCAACAGACAUGCCUGGAUCUUCAAGAACAGAUUAAGGAGAAACUGACUGAUCAAGUAGAGAAUGAACAGGUUUCUGAAGUGCAAAUGACCUCUAGUAGAUUAGGAAUGGAGCCUGUAUCCAUGGAAAGCAAGGACACUUUCAGGGACCAAGACGAUUGGACGAGUCAAAAGGACUUGUUGGUGAAGGAAUACGAGGAGAAGCUCCGAGAUUUACAGCAGAGGCUCGAAGAGAAAGAAAAUCAGCUAAAAGCACAACAGAGUUUGCCUCAAGGAAACGGGGAGACUGAUAGUGAGUGCCUAAUCAACAAUACAGACACCUCAGAGAAUGAUCUUCAGAUAAAACUGGUAGAGGCUGAGAACGAGAAGCAGAAGCUCCACAAAGAUUACACCAGACUACAAAAAGACCUUCGCUCGCUACGGAAAGAGCAUGAGAAGGAGCUGGAUUUCCUGAAAAAGGAGAUGGCUGAGGAAAACGAGAAGAAGCUCAAACUUGAAUUGGAAGACAUAGAAAUGAAACACAACUCUUCUCUUAAGCAGUUAAUGAGGGAGUUUAACACCCAAAUGGCCCUGAAGGAAAAGGAACUGGAAGGUUCUGUGAAGGAGACCAUUGAGAAAGCUCAAGGUGUUGAAUCUGAGCUUAUGAUUAGCCAUCGAGAUGAAGUCAGUCAACUUCAGAAAAUGAUCGCUCAGAAGGAAGAAGAGCUAAACAAAACGGUUCAGCGUUACGAGCAGGUCCUUCAGAGUCGUGAGGUGGAGAUGGGCGACCGUGUUUGGGAGGUGCAGAAGGAGUUAGAGGAUCUUCAACAGAGGAGUGUCAGCGGCCCACAGGGUCUUGAUGAGUUACAGGUUCAGCUUGCAGAAAAGACAACCCUGUUGAGCGAAGCCAGGCUAAAAGAGCAGGAAUACCAUGACAGGAUUCAUGCUCUGGAAGACAAAAUAAGACGCUCCCAUAAAAACACAGUGGUGACUCACCUGGGAAGCACAUAUCGAGAUAUGACACACAACAGCACAGACCCCUUCUCCGAGCCCACCGAAUACGAGUACCUCAAGAAGGUCAUGUUUGAGUACAUGAUGGGAAGAGAGACAAAGACGAUGGCCAAAGUUAUAACAUCCAUGCUGAAGUUUCCUCCGGACCAGGCGCAGAAGGUUCUGGAGCGGGAGGAUUCUCGUGUGAUGCCUUGGCUCCGCUGAGGUGGAAUCACAACCGGCCUGACGACCACCGACUCUCCUCCUCCUCCUCCUGCUGCUGAGGGAUGCUACUGACGUGAACGAGCCCGGCCUGCUUACCUGUGUGUGUGUGUGUGUGUGUGUGUGUGUGAGAGAGAGAGAGAGAGAGAGAGAGAGAGAGAGCAGUGU